CCUUUGCCGGUCUUUUAAACCAGUGGGCUGCAAUCCCACCCUAGCUUAACGCAAAGGC
rnacentral:tRNA from 1 species